GUCUAGUAGCUUUGAAGGGUUUCCCUCUCUAUUUGUUUUCAAUGAUUUCUAGUUUCACUACAUAUAUUAUCUUGUACAAUUACCAUCUAUACCUCUGGGUGCUUGGACUUUGCUCUGAAGACUCGUCUUCACCUCUGGAAAAGCAUCAGCAAAUACCUCUUCAAAUAUUGCCUUUCUACCUUUUUGGAAAUUCUGUUAGCCGUGUCUCAUGGUAGGGAGAACCCCCACAAGGAGACUGCACUUCAAAGUCCCUCCUGGAUCCCAUUCAGAUCCAAAACUGAGCACCUGCUCUGUGCCAAGAAAUGCUCUAUGGAAAUGAAUCAGUUCCCACCAUCCAGGAGGUCACAGCCUGCUCAGAUGCAAAAGAACUCCAUGCAGGCUAAGCCUUCUUCCCACCAACAUGGAUUGUGCUGAAAGAUGGCAAAUACUUGUAUGCUGACAGUUUUCUACAGCUUAAGACCCGGUUCUUGAUGGGAGAAAAAUAAACAUCAUCAGCUGCUUCCUUCCUAAUAACCAUACUAUUUUAAGGGAACUUGAGAUUUUGUUUAUAAACUACACUGAUGGUUAUGUAACCAAUGAGAUCUAUAUUUCUGGCACAUUUCCUUUCAUACAGACUCAAUUAAA
rnacentral:lncRNA from 1 species